GCUCACAGUGCUGACAAAGAAAAGGACGCCUGCCUGCUUCUAACGGCUGAGAAUAAACUGAAGCUGAACACUGACCCAGAACCUGCCGAGCGUCCUGUAUUCCACAUCCGGCUGCUUGUGCAGGAAGUCUGAGAGGUAGACUUCAGUGAAAAGUUGACGCCUUUGGAAGAAAAGAAGAAUGAAGUGAACCUAACCAAGCAAAACAUCUUCAAAAUAAAAAUGAAAUGGAACUGAACUCACGUGUUGACUGUUUCCCACCAGAAAUCUAGGAUUUUCUUUCCCCCAAUACCAGGCAGCAGAGCUU